GGGGUCCUCGCAGCGUAGGGCCCCGUAGAACUCAGAAUAUAUAGCGCACGAAAAUAGCACUUAAUCGUCACAGAACUAAUAAAUUAAAGAGCAUUUGGCGGAGAGAAUGGGACCGGAAACAUACUCGGAGUGCGAAUAAGGCGACGGAAUGAGAAAGGAGGGUCGGAAGCACGCUCCGGAAGACGGAACUCUUCGAGAUUGAGACGCCAGGAGGAGGCAUCGGCAGCGCCGUUGGUGGCCGGAGAAAGAAGCUCCAGUCUGUAGUCGCCGGAAUCAAUGGCCAAGCCGUUCUCCAUUCUUUUCCCUUCUCUGUUGACCGGCAUUGGACUUCGGUGGUGGAUUGGAUUCGCAACUAGGAGAUUGAAACUCUAUAGUAGUGUCUCGCAACGAACUGCACCUUUUAUGGAGGAAGGGGAGUGGCGGAAGUAACCUUGCGCGUUCAUACUGCAACACAAAGGAGGCACACACGCUAUGGAAAUCCGGAAGGACCGACGGGUUGUGGCCGCCGUUGAGUUUAUUGAGUUACCCUGGUAGGAGGGUAAGUGUUGUGCUAGGAUCAAUGGUUUUUGUUGUAGGAUCCUAGAAAAUACUUUUUUGUGUUUUUGGGUAUUUUGGGGAUUGUAUAUAAAUACAAAACGUGAUGGAUUAUAAUUAACUCUAGUAUUAUGUAUUCUAUGGUUUUAAGAAUGUGGUUUAUAUUU